UAGAAUAAUAGUGAUGAGCAAAAGUAAAUGAAUCAAGAAAUAGAGUUUAAGGGCUUCUUAGAGAGUACCUUAAUGAGAUCUUCAAGAGAGGGAUCUUCAAGAGAGGGAAGGAAUGUUGAUGCUUUGCUUCGAAAUGAAGGGUAUUUGGGAUGCUAAGAUGGGGGAAAUGGGGAUGGAGGAGGCUUAGGAGAGUAGAGGAGGGAAGGAAAUGAGUUGGGGUCGGUUUCACCACCGGCCCUAGCUUGAGUUAUAAAGGGGCAGAGUUGCGGG
rnacentral:lncRNA from 1 species